rnacentral:rRNA from 1 species
AGUGAACGCUGGCGGUAGGCCUAACACAUGCAAGUCGAACGGCAGCACAGGAGAGCUUGCUCUCUGGGUGGCGAGUGGCGGACGGGUGAGGAAUACAUCGGAAUCUACUCUGUCGAGGGGGAUAACGUAGGGAAACUUACGCUAAUACCGCAUACGACCUACGGGUGAAAGCAGGGGACCUUCGGGCCUUGCGCGAUUGAAUGAGCGGAUGUCGGAUUAGCUAGUUGGCGGGGUAAAGGCCCACCAAGGCGACGAUCCGUAGCUGGUCUGAGAGGAUGAUCAGCCACACUGGAACUGAGACACGGUCCAGACUCCUACGGGAGGCAGCAGUGGGGAAUAUUGGACAAUGGGCGCAAGCCUGAUCCAGCCAUACCGCGUGGGUGAAGAAGGCCUUCGGGUUGUAAAGCCCUUUUGUUGGGAAAGAAAUCCAGCUGGCUAAUACCCGGUUGGGAUGACGGUACCCAAAGAAUAAGCACCGGCUAACUUCGUGCCAGCCGCCGCGGUAA